rnacentral:snRNA from 1 species
AUACUUACCUGACAGGAGGAGACCAUAAUCACAAAGGUGGUUUUCCCAGGACGAGGCUUGUCCAUUGCACUAUGGAUGUCCUGACCCCUGCAAUUUUCCCAAAUGUGGGAAACUCGACUGCAUAGUUUGUGGUCGCGCGGGACUGUGUGCGUGUUCUCCCAUG